GGUGUCAGUGCUGUAUUGAUGUACCAAAAAGGCUGUACUCAAUUGACAUCUCUAGUGUGGGCCUCCACUGCCCCUGACCGGAACCGGAAGUGGUCUCCGUCCGAUAUCUGGCAGCCGGAAGUGGUGCGGUGGACUGCAGAGGCGCUGCUGUGCUCAGAAGGGGGUCCUCCGUCACCGUGGUAGGACGGCAGUGCUGCAUUGUGGUUGUGGAAGAAGUAGUUAGACGUCAUGGCGAACCGCCAUACCGCUCUAUCGGUGCUACUGUGUUUGCUGGUCCUCACCAGCGUUCACAUGACCCGUGGUCGACCCGGUGACACGGACAUCCAGACCCUGGCAAGGAGGAUUCGACCGGAUGAACAACAAAGAGUGAUCAACCUGGGUUGUCCCGUUGGGAGACGGCCCUGCGGCCGGGGGCGAUGCUGUGUGACCCGACGGGUGCCAGAUCGGCCAGUAUGUCGGCCCUGGCAAGUCAGCCACCCGGUGUUUGGGUGUAUCGGCUAAACCCGGUGUUGGGGUGUAUUGGCUAAACCCGGUGUUGGGGUGUACUGGCUAAACCCGGUGUUGGGGUGUAUUGGCUAAACGUGGUGUUGGGGUGUAUUGGCUAAACCCGGUGUUGGGGUGUAUUGGCUAAACCCGGUGUUGGGGUGUAUCGGCUAAACCCGGUGUUGGGGUGUACUGGCUAAACCCGGUGUUGGGGUGUAUUGGCUAAACCCGGUGUUGGGGUGUAUUGGCUAAACCCGGUGUUUGGGUGUAUUGGCUAGACCCAGUGUUUGGGUGUGUCGGUUGGACCCCGUGUUUGGGUGCACUGCAGUUAAACCAUGGAAAAUAUGAGCCACUCGUUUGGA